rnacentral:lncRNA from 1 species
CGACCUGCCAUUGGGUAAACGCAAGGGAGGAGAAAAGAAUCAGCUGCUUCCCCAAGGAGCCAAGGGUACUUUUAAUGGAAAAUGAUAUUAGAAAUCAAGAUUUGGACAUUUGGGAUGUUGUUGCUUCUAGACACUCUCAGCUGACAGAGCAAGGAAAUAUUUGUGCAUAUGCUGACCUGACUAAAUACGCAUAUCUGCUCCAUACCUACCUAACAUCUAUCUUUUCAAGAACUCUGCCAGGGAAGGAGUAGUUUCUGUGUUUCAUAAACAGACUGAGACUCAAAGAGGCUAAGUAAACUACCUGAAGCCAUAUAGCAACACACAAUGACGGAUGUGAGAUUCAAACUUGGAUUUAUCUGGCUCCAAAAUUUCUAGGUUUUUAUUUUUUCCCCCCCACUACAGCAAAACUAAGGAGAAGAGACAGAGGUGAACAGCUGUCUCUCAGUGGUUAUUCUAUUUUCCCUUAUCUACAUGUUUUCCUCCUUUCACUCUCUCGGUUUGUUCUUAUCCUUCAGAGGUAAAGAGGAGCCUUCAGAGAGCUAUAAA